GCCGGCGUGGCGGAACUGGCAGCCGCACAGGACUUAAAAUCCUGCGGGACCAAAAUCCCGUACCGGUUCGAUUCCGGUCGCCGGCA
rnacentral:tRNA from 1 species